UACGUAGGGGGCAAGCGUUGUCCGGAAUCAUUGGGCGUAAAGCGCGUGUAGGCGGCUUCGUAAGUCCGUUGUGAAAGUCCAGGGCUCAACCCUGGAAUGCCGAUGGAUACUGCGGAGCUAGAGUCCGGAAGAGGCGAGUGGAAUCCUGGUGUAGCGGUGAAAUGCGCAGAUAUCAGGAGGAACACCAAUGGCGAAGGCAGCUCGCUGGGACGGUACUGACGCUGAGACGCGAAAGCGUGGGGAGCGAACAGG
rnacentral:rRNA from 1 species